GGCUUCGUAGCUCAGCUGGUAAAGCGCUUGCUGCGUUUAGAUAUGCAGCUUCAGUCGCUGGUUCGAAUUCAGCCGAAGCCC